rnacentral:rRNA from 1 species
CAGCAGCCGCGGUAAUACGUAGGGUGCGAGCGUUAAUCGGAAUUACUGGGCGUAAAGCGUGCGCAGGCGGUGCUGUAAGACCGAUGUGAAAUCCCCGGGCUUAACCUGGGAACUGCAUUGGUGACUGCAGCGCUGGAGUAUGGCAGAGGGGGGUGGAAUUCCACGUGUAGCAGUGAAAUGCGUAGAGAUGUGGAGGAACACCGAUGGCGAAGGCAGCCCCCUGGGCCAAUACUGACGCUCAUGCACGAAAGCGUGGGGAGCAAACAGGAUUAGAUACCCUGGUAGUCCACGCCCUAAACGAUGUCAACUGGUUGUUGGGGAUUCAUUUCCUUAGUAACGUAGCUAACGCGUGAAGUUGACCGCCUGGGGAGUACGGUCGCAAGAUUAAAACUCAAAGGAAUUGAC